rnacentral:rRNA from 1 species
UACCAGCACCCCGAGUGGUCGGGACGAUUAUUGGGCCUAAAGCAUCCGUAGCCGGUUCUACAGGUCUUCCGUUAAAUCCACCUGCUUAACAGAUGGGCUGCGGAGGAUACUAUAGAGCUAGGAGGCGGGAGAGGCAAGCGGUACUUAGUGGGUAGGGGUAAAAUCCGUUGAUCCAUUGAAGACCACCAGUGGCGAAGGCGGCUUGCCAGAACGCACUCGACGGUGAGGGAUGAAAGCUGGGGGAGCAAACCGG